rnacentral:sRNA from 5 species
AUGUACCCACGUACAUUCCGGUUCCUCCGCGCCGUCCGCACCCACCUGACGACUGCUCGCUACGUUUUGUCAGCC